GAUUUUUUUGGGAAUGAAAGUUGGGAUGAUUUAAUUGGCGAACCGGGGGAGUAACCCCUUGAGAAACCUUCCUUUCCACAGAGGGGAUAGCCGUUGGAAACGGCCGAUUAAUACCUCCAUGACAUCAAGAUACCGCCGGGUAAUUUUAUUUAAAGUUUUAUUCGGUGAAAGAUGGUCUCGCGUCUAUUAGUUAGUUGGUAAGGUAUUGCUUACCAAGGCAACGAUCAGUAGCCGGCCUGAGAGGGAGAACGGCCACACUGGAACUGAGACACGGUCCAGACUCGUACGGGAGGCAGCAGUGGGGAAUAUUGCACAAUGGAGGAAACUCUGAUGCAGCGACGCCGCGUGAACGAUGAAAGAAUUUCGGGUCGUAAAGUUCUGUCCUUGGGGACGAUAAUGACGGUACCCAAGGAGGAAGCCCCGGCUAACUACGUGCCAGCAGCCGCGGUAAUACGUAGGCCCGCCAGCGUUGUCCGGAUUUAUUGGGCGUAAAGGGUUCGCAGGUGGCCUUUUAAGUCAGAUGUGAAGGAUCAAGGCUUAACCUUGGUAAGCAUUUGAAACUGAAAGGCUUGAGUUAAGGAGAGGAAAGUGGAAUUCCUAGUGUAGCGGUGAAAUGCGUAGAUAUUAGGAGGAAUACCAGUGGCGAAGGCGACUUUCUGGACUUAUACUGACACUGAGGAACGAAAGCAUGGGGAGCAAACAGGAUUAGAUACCCUGGUAGUCCAUGCCGUAAACGAUGAGAAAUAGGUGUCGGGGGUCAAACCUCGGUGCCGGAGCUAACGCAU
rnacentral:rRNA from 1 species